rnacentral:rRNA from 1 species
UACGGAGGGUGCAAGCGUUAAUCGGAAUUACUGGGCGUAAAGCGUGCGCAGGCGGUUUGUUAAGUCUGGUGUGAAAUCCCCGGGCUCAACCUGGGAAUUGCGUUGGAGACUGCAAGGCUGGAGUCUGGCAGAGGGGGGUAGAAUUCCACGUGUAGCAGUGAAAUGCGUAGAGAUGUGGAGGAACACCGAUGGCGAAGGCAGCCCCCUGGGUCAAGACUGACGCUCAUGCACGAAAGCGUGGGGAGCAAACAGG